UCUUAAUGCCAGUUGAACCGAAUAUCCAAGACAUAGGUGGUAUUGAAAAAUUCGAAAAGAAAUACUUCAGGUUCGGCUAACUUUGGUACUAACUCAAAGCUUAAAAGGCCUAUGCGCUCUAAGGAAAUUAUUUCAAACGCAUCUAGCGUUCGUAAUAUUCAUCCACAACCUCAUUGCCCUUCAGGUUCAACAUCUUAAUUGCCGAGCUCACUACGACUGGAUCUGAUAUGAUAUUAUUAGCUUUUGUUUUUAUUUCUCUUUUUCUUGGGUUGAAAAGCUAGAAAUUGUUGGUACUGUGUUUUAGUGACUAAAUACUCGUUUAAAGAUAUAUGGAUACUACUUUGAGACAUUUUGGUAUUAAUUAGUGUAACUACAAAACUUCUUUUAUAUGCUUUCUUUGUUAAUGCAAAUCAAGGCGAAUAAAAUUAAAGAUA